rnacentral:rRNA from 1 species
UACGUAGGGGGCAAGCGUUGUCCGGAAUCAUUGGGCGUAAAGCGCGUGUAGGCGGCUUCGUAAGUCCGUUGUGAAAUCCUGGAGCUCAACUCCAGAACUGCCUUCGAUACUGGGAGCUCGAGUCCGGGAGAGGUGAGUGGAACUGCGAGUGUAGAGGCGAAAUUCGUAGAUAUUCGCAAGAACACCAGUGGCGAAGGCGGCUCACUGGCCCGGUACUGACGCUGAGGUGCGAAAGCGUGGGGAGCGAACAGG